ACGUCUCACCAUCUGUCGCUAGACACCUGUUAGCAAAAAGAUAUUUUACUGUGAUAGUGGAAAAGCUAUAUAAGAUGCAUUUAUUGUGAAUUUAUCAGGGGUGUAGUGAAUGAGUAUUUAAUACAGUUACAUUUACGACUUAUCAUCGGACAAAGAAAGAUGAACAGCCGCUUGAUUUUCCUUUUCAUGGUGAUCAUGGCACUGACGGUCUUCAUUGCGGUUUCUCAAGCUGACCUUUGCAAAGUGGUGUGCGAAACAGAGUGUGAUGAGAGCGGAGAAGUCUGCAAGAAAACCUGCACUCUCCAAUGUGCAGACCCUGUAUCAAAGAUUGUUUACGAAGCUCCGUAUGAAGAAUGAAGGUAAAAGACAUAAUACUGGAGAACACAUGCCCAGCUGAUAGCUGUUCUCUGAACACGAAAAUUAAUACAAUCUUGUUUCACAUUAGCAGUUUUUAAUGUCUUAAUUGAAUAAAAGAGUAUUAUUGAAUAAACAUUUUUUAGAUA